AACGAACGCUGGCGGCAGGCUUAACACAUGCAAGUCGAACGCACCUUCGGGUGAGUGGCAGACGGGUGAGUAACGCGUGGGAACCUUCCCUGUGGUACGGAAUAGCUCCGGGAAACUGGAAUUAAUACCGUAUACGCCCUUUUGGGGAAAGAUUUAUCGCCAUAGGAUGGGCCCGCGUCGGAUUAGCUUGUUGGUAGGGGUAAUGGCCUACCAAGGCAACGAUCCGUAGCUGGUCUUAGAGGAUGAUCAGCCACACUGGGACUGAGACACGGCCCAGACUCCUACGGGAGGCAGCAGUGGGGAAUAUUGGACAAUGGGCGAAAGCCUGAUCCAGCCAUGCCGCGUGAGUGACGAAGGCCUUAGGGUUGUAAAACUCUUUUGGCGGGGACGAUAAUGACGGUACCCGCAGAAUAAGCCCCGGCUAACUUCGUG
rnacentral:rRNA from 1 species